GGAAGAAGCGAAAGUGACGGUACCUGCAGAAAAAGCACGGGCUAACUACGUGCCAGCAGCCGCGGUAAUACGUAGGGUGCAAGCGUUGUCCGGAAUUAUUGGGCGUAAAGAGCUCGUAGGCGGUUUGUCGCGUCUGCUGUGAAAUCCCGAGGCUCAACCUCGGGCUUGCAGUGGGUACGGGCAGACUAGAGUGCGGUAGGGGAGAUUGGAAUUCCUGGUGUAGCGGUGGAAUGCGCAGAUAUCAGGAGGAACACCGAUGGCGAAGGCAGAUCUCUGGGCCGUAACUGACGCUGAGGAGCGAAAGCGUGGGGAGCGAACAGGAUUAGAUACCCUGGUAGUCCACGCCGUAAACGUUGGGCGCUAGAUGUAGGGACCUUUCCACGGUUUCUGUGUCGUAGCUAACGCAUUAAGCGCCCCGCCUGGGGAGUACGGCCGCAAGGCUAAAACUCAAAGGAAUUGACGGGGGCCCGCACAAGCGGCGGAGCAUGCGGAUUAAUUCGAUGCAACGCGAAGAACCUUACCAAGGCUUGACAUACACCGGAAACGGCCAGAGAUGGUCGCCCCCUUGUGGUCGGUGUACAGGUGGUGCAUGGUUGUCGUCAGCUCGUGUCGUGAGAUGUUGGGUUAAGUCCCGCAACGAGCGCAACCCUCGUUCUAUGUUGCCAGCGCGUUAUGGCGGGGACUCAUAGGAGACUGCCGGGGUCAACUCGGAGGAAGGUGGGGAUGACGUCAAAUCAUCAUGCCCCUUAUGUCUUGGGCUUCACGCAUGCUACAAUGGCCGGUACAAAGGGCUGCGAUACCGUAAGGUGGAGCGAAUCCCAAAAAGCCGGUCUCAGUUCGGAUUGAGGUCUGCAACUCGACCUCAUGAAGUCGGAGUCGCUAGUAAUCGCAGAUCAGCAACGCUGCGGUGAAUACGUUCCCGGGCCUUGUACACACCGCCCGUCAAGUCAUGAAAGUCGGUAACACCCGAAGCCGGUGGCCUAACCCUUGUGGAAGGAGCCGUCG
rnacentral:rRNA from 1 species